AACUUGGAGUAAUUGAUAGUCAUGUGGUAUUAUAAGAUGCUAUAGUACACAUUGAAGAUAAGAGCUUGGCCAAAAAAGUAAAGCCUAUGGCAAUCCAAUUACAUCAAGAUACCAAAGAAUAUAUUAAAUGAGCGAUUAUAGAAUUGAGAUUGACAGAGUUAAGAAGGAUUAAUCAUAAGUUUAUUAAAGAGACUUUGGAUAAGUUGAAGAUUAGAAGAAAUGAAUUUUUGAUCAAAGUGAAAAAAAAAGUUUCUAAAGAUGCUAUCCAAAUAUAAUGGCAUUAACAAGGAGAGAUUUUUUGAACUUCAAAUUCACCAAUUAGAGAGAUUGCCCAAUAAUCAUCAAAUUGCUAUAGAGAGGCUUAAAACAAUAAGGUUGAAUAAUAAAGAGAGGUUUGAUAAAACUCACCAAUUGAGGCCUAAAUGAAUUAAAGAAGAUUACUGAAUUUUGAUUUAUGAUAGUAAUUUGAUGCACAAAUAUUCUACUCUUU
rnacentral:lncRNA from 1 species